rnacentral:rRNA from 1 species
CGGGGCCGAGUAAAGUGGCGUACGGGUGAGUAACACGUGGGUAAUCUACCUUUUGGUGGGGAAUAACGCUGGGAAACCGGCGCUAAUACCGCAUAAGCUCGAAAGAGGAAAGGAGCAAUUCGCCGAAAGAGGAGCCCGCGGCUGAUUAGCUAGUUGGUGAGGUAAAGGCUCACCAAGGCAAUGAUCGGUAGCCGGCCUGAGAGGGCACACGGCCACACUGGCACUGAAACACGGGCCAG